rnacentral:rRNA from 1 species
GGAUCCAGACUUUGAUUCUGGCUCAGGAUGAACGCUAGCGACAGGCUUAACACAUGCAAGUCGAGGGGCAGCACGGUGUAGCGAUACACUGGUGGCGACCGGCGCACGGGUGAGUAACACGUGUGCAACCAACCCCGUACCGGGAGAUAACCCGCGGAAACGUGGACUAACAUCCCAUGAUACUCGAGAGCCGCAUGGCUCUAGAUUUAAAAUUCCGGUGGUACGGGACGGGCACGCGCGACAUUAGGUAGUUGGCGGGGUAAGGGCCCACCAAGCCGACGAUGUCUAGGGGUUCUGAGAGGAAGGUCCCCCACACUGGAACUGAGACACGGUCCAGACUCCUACGGGAGGCAGCAGUGAGGAAUAUUGGUCAAUGGGCGAGAGCCUGAACCAGCCAAGUCGCGUGAGGGAAGAAUGGUCUAUGGCCUGUAAACCUCUUUUGCCAGGGAAGAAUAAAAGGUACGUGUACCUUCUUGCCAGUACCUGACGAAUAAGCAUCGGCUAACUCCGUGCCAGCAGCCGCGGUAAUACGGGGGAUGCGAGCGUUAUCCGGAUUUAUUGGGUUUAAAGGGCGCGUAGGCGGGACGUCAAGUCAGCGGUAAAAGACUGCAGCUAAACUGUAGCACGCCGUUGAAACUGGCGACCUGGAGACGAGACGAGGGAGGCGGAACAAGUGAAGUAGCGGUGAAAUGCAUAGAUAUCACUUGGAACCCCGAUAGCGAAGGCAGCUUCCCAGGCUCGUUCUGACGCUGAUGCGCGAGAGCGUGGGUAGCGAACAGGAUUAGAUACCCUGGUAGUCCACGCCGUAAACGAUGCUCACUGGAUCUUGGCGAUACACGGCCAGGGUUCAAGCGAAAGUAUUAAGUGAGCCACCUGGGGAGUACGUUGGCAACGAUGCAACUCAAAUGAAUUGACGG